AGUGAACGCUGGCGGUAGGCCUAACACAUGCAAGUCGAACGGCAGCACAGUAAGAGCUUGCUCUUACGGGUGGCGAGUGGCGGACGGGUGAGGAAUACAUCGGAAUCUACUUUUUCGUGGGGGAUAACGUAGGGAAACUUACGCUAAUACCGCAUACGACCUACGGGUGAAAGCAGGGGAUCUUCGGACCUUGCGCGAUUGAAUGAGCCGAUGUCGGAUUAGCUAGUUGGCGGGGUAAAGGCCCACCAAGGCGACGAUCCGUAGCUGGUCUGAGAGGAUGAUCAGCCCCACUGGCACUGAGACACGGUCCAGACUCCUACGGGAGGCAGCAGUGGGUAAUUUUGGACAAUGGGCGCAAGCCUGAUCCAGCCAUACCGCGUGGGUGAAGAAGGCCUUCGGGUUGUAAAGCCCUUUUGUUGGGAAAGACAAGCAGCAGGUUAAUACCCCGCUGUUCUGACGGUACCCAAAGAAUAAGCACCGGCUAACUUCGUG
rnacentral:rRNA from 1 species